CUACGGGGCGCACCAGUGGGGAAUAUUGCACAAUGGGGGAAACCCUGAUGCAGCAACGCCGCGUGGAGGAUGACACAUUUCGGUGCGUAAACUCCUUUUAUAUAAGAAGAUAAUGACGGUAUUAUAUGAAUAAGCACCGGCUAACUCCGUGCCAGCAGCCGCGGUAAUACGGAGGGGGCAAGCGUUAUUCGGAAUCACUGGGCGUAAAGGGUGCGUAGGCGGUUUGGAAAGUCAGGUGUGAAAGCCCGGGGCUCAACUCCGGAACUGCACUUGAAACUUCCAGACUAGAAUACUGAAGGGGCAGAUGGAAUUAGUGGUGUAGGGGUAAAAUCCGUAGAUAUCACUAGGAAUACCGAAAGCGAAAGCGAUCUGCUGGGAAGUUAUUGACGCUGAGGCACGAAAGCGUGGGGAGCAAACAGGAUUAGAUACCCCCGUAGUC
rnacentral:rRNA from 1 species